AAGAGCCGCGGUAUAUUGACCGUGCAAAGGUAGCAUAAUCAUUAGGGGUUUAAUUGGAAUCUGGUAUGAAGGGUUGGACAAAGGAGAAACUGUCUUUAUAGUAGAGAUUGAAAUUUACUUUUAAGUGAAAAGGCUUAAGUGAAUUAGAGGGACGAUAAGACCCUAUAAAACUUUAUAAAUUAUUUAGAUUUAGUUGAUUUGAAAGUAAAGAUUAAAUUUAAUUGUUUUAUUUUGUUGGGGUGAUGUGAGUAUAAUUGUUAUUAACUGCUUAAAAAAGGUACUUUUAUAAAAGAAUUGAGGGAAAUAUGGUCCUUUUUAAAGAUUAAAAGACUAAGUUACUUUAGGGAUAACAGCGUUAUUUCUUUUGAGAGUUCAUAUCGAAAAAGAAGAUUGCGACCUCGAUGUUGAAUUAAAAUAUCUAUAUAAUGUAGCCGUUAUAAAAGAAGGUCUGUUCGACCUUUAAAUUUUU
rnacentral:rRNA from 1 species